CAUUUGUACAUGUUAUUAAUCAUUUUAUUUAAGAUUUAUUAAAUAUUGCGUUAAUCAAGAUUAAUGUUAGUUAGAUCAAAAUCGAAUCUAAAAUCUUACAUUUAAGUACAAUCAAUCGACACGAUCGAUAGCAUCGAAGGAGUCGUUAAUUAACAAUAAGACAACUGGCGCCUAACCGUUGUUCCGGGUCCUUCAAAAGAAAUUUGAUUGGAAGUCAUGAGGGUUGAGAGAUUUCCUGUUCCGUGAUUCACGACUUUGACACGUGACGGAUGUUUCCUGGCGCCCACGAUAUAUUCAAGAUAUCCAGGAGCCCAUUCAAUACUGUCGAGACACGUGUCUUAAUUAUGACCGUCUGGACAUUCGUAUUCAGUCGAGCCUGUAUCGGUUCGUUCAUUAAUAAAUUGUUUAUUGCAGCAUAGUGUGUGCAUCACCCCGGUCCCCUUCAACUUAAGUUCCCAAACAUUGAUGAUCCUAUGUAUCCUUGGUAUCUACCGAAUCGAUGCCUCAGGAAACACUGUCCCGACAGUGUCCAUUUUACAAACAUAUCUUGGUAUACCUGAUUUGACUUAAAAAUUCAUUCGAGUUAAAACCCAAAAAUGCAAAUUAUCGAUGCCUUAGGAAAAUAUUAUCCUUUAAAUGCGUAAAUCAUUUCUACUGUAUAACAUAAUGUUAAAAUUAUUUUUCUUCGGCUUUUAUUUAAAAAACGAAGAUAAAGAUUUACGAGUAUGAUUCACGAGUUUCGCAGAAAAAUAAUAUCGUCAUUACGACGAUAUUCUCAUUAUCAUAUUGGAAAAUUGAACUGCAUAUGAAAAUUUUUUAGAACAUGAAUGUAAAAAAAAUAAAUCUUAUUUUUAUCUUGAA